rnacentral:rRNA from 1 species
CCCCGUGAACCUUUACUAUAGCUUUGCACUGGACUUUGAAGUUGUUUGUGUAGGAUAGGUGGGAGGCUUUGAAACUGCGACGCUAGUUGCAGUGGAGCCAACCUUGAAAUACCACCCUGGCAACUUUGAGGUUCUAACUCUGGUCCGUUAUCCGGAUCGAGGACAGUGUAUGGUGGGUAGUUUGACUGGGGCGGUCUCCUCCUAAAGAGUAACGGAGGAGUACGAAGGUGCGCUCAGACCGGUCGGAAAUCGGUCGUAGAGUAUAAAGGCAAAAGCGCGCUUAACUGCGAGACCAACAAGUCGAGCAGGUACGAAAGUAGGUCUUAGUGAUCCGGUGGUUCUGUAUGGAAGGGCCAUCGCUCAACGGAUAAAAGGUACUCCGGGGAUAACAGGCUGAUACCGCCCAAGAGUUCAUAUCGACGGCGGUGUUUGGCACCUCGAUGUCGGCUCAUCACAUCCUGGGGCUGAAGCCGGUCCCAAGGGUAUGGCUGUUCGCCAUUUAAAGUGGUACGCGAGCUGGGUUUAGAACGUCGUGAGACAGUUCGGUCCCUAUCUGUCGUGGACGUUUGAGAUUUGAGAGGGGCUGCUCCUAGUACGAGAGGACCGGAGUGGACGAACCUCUGGUGUUCCGGUUGUCACGCCAGUGGCAUUGCCGGGUAGCUAUGUUCGGAAGAGAUAACCGCUGAAAGCAUCUAAGCGGGAAGCUUGCCUCAAGAUGAGAUCUCACUGGAGCUUUAAGCUCCCUGAAGGGCCCUUGAAGACUACAAGGUUGAUAGGUUGGGUGUGUAAGUGCUGUGAGGCAUUGAGCUAACCAAUACUAAUUGCCCGUGAGGCUUGACCAU